rnacentral:lncRNA from 1 species
GGUUGUCAAACCUCAAGCUGGGAUCCCCAGACAAUUUAGUUGUAGCCCUGAACCAGCUUUACCUGAAUAAAGUAGAAAAGGGCAUGAUAAUUGGUAGAUAAUUCAGGUGUGCUAGCUUUGUAAAACAUCUAAUACAUUGAGUGGAGAGGUUUGGGAGAGGUUGAAGAACCUCUGACAUAGCCUACCUGUAUAUUUGUCCAGUGUAAAUUCACACACUGUUGAACACUGACCUGUGCUGAUCCACAGCCACUGAUGGCUGGCUGGAAAGUUCUUGUAUUGUUCUCCACAGGAAGCCCAGACAUCUUUUGGGAUCAUUUUGUACCAAGGCCCAGCUAGGGCAGACCAAAGAUCAAAACAUUUAGUUCAGGCACUGUGACUUAUAAAAUAUGGCAUGGUUUUAUUCUGUUGUAACUAUAAAAAUAUGGCAUGGUCGUAUUGUAUCUUGUUAAUGUAGAUGUAAAACUAAAACAUCAUUGUCAGUCCCUCCUAACUGCUUUGUUAAUACAUCUCUCUUCUACAGCUCUGAACACAUGUUUUAAAUGCUUGGAGGAGGAUUUAGUUUGCCAAAAGAUGAACCGCAUUUUUAACACAAAGACAAAUGAAAAAUUGUGGGAAGAAAGUGGAGCAAAGCAAGGCCUGCCUAAAUGUCCCCUCACCCCUCCUCCCAUGACUGGACAGUGUGUUCCCUGUUUAGAGGACCUCCAGGUCCUCAUUGUGUGUGUCAACGUGUCUGCGGAGAUCGAGCUGGACCUGGAGGCCUCUGAUGGGAAGAGUCUUUCCUACACUGCUGCCACGUGCCCUACACUGGAGACCGUUGGAGGAAGUUUGAGUCAAUCUGCCAGUCAUUCUGGACACCUGGAGCCAAACCUCUUGAUGAUCCUCAUGGCUGGCUGGAUCGUCAUACUAUGGGAAUGCAAAGGGGAAUCCCACCAUGUUUUUUUUUUUAGCUUGUGCAAUUCCACAUGGCCACACCCUAGCACCACAGACCCAACACCCUCUCCCGUAUUUGGAGAACAGACAACUGUACCGAUUUAA